CAGUAGGGCAGACUCUAAUCCUCUAGGACUGGUGUCUUUAUUAGAGGAGAUGAGAACACAGACAUGCACAGAGGAAACACCACAUGAGGACACAGGGAGAAGAUUGAAUCUACCAGCCAAGGAGGGAGGCCUCAGGAGGAAUGAGCCCUGCCCACACCUUCAUCUCAGACUUCCAGCCUCCAGCACUGUGGGUUAAUUAAUGGCUAUUUUUUAUUAGCCACUGAUUUUAUGGUAUUGUGUUAUAGCAGCAUGAAAUAGACUAAGACACAUCAUGAAAAGAGGAGAUGAGGACGCAGACACACACAAAGGAACAAUCCUCUGAGGACACAGGCAGAAGGCAACAUCUAUAAGUGAAGGAGAGGGGGCUCAGGAGGAAUGAAUCCUGGGGACACCCUGAUCUUGGAUUUGCAGCCCCCAGAAUGGGAGAGAAUAAAUUUCGGUUGGUUUUAAGCUACCCAGUCUGCUGUACCUGGUUAUGACAGAUCUAGGAAAUCUGAUGUAAGUGGGAAAGGAAGAGAGAAAGUUGGACCUCUGCCUGGUAGUUUAUUUGUGGAUCAAGUAAAAACACUCAACACAAAUUCUACUGGAAGGUUUGGCUGCACUUGGAGGCUGUACAAACAGAUCUUGAGAAGUCUUUGAUGAGGAAGCACAGUAGAACACACCUGGCUGUUGGAGAUGGGGAGAUGCCAGCAGUGACAACAAAAGUAAAUGGGAAAAGAACACUAUUCAAUAACUGGUGCUGACAAAACUUGCUACUGAUAUACAGAAGAAUGAAACUAGACCCCUAUGUUUACCAUAUUCAGGAAAUUUUAAAAAGUAGCACAGAGAUAUUUGAGAGGAAGAGACUGAUGGAGAGGCAUCUCAUUUGCAAGUGCCUCUGAAUGAAGCAAAGCAAAGCUGUUCAAAGGCAGAAGUGUUAAGUAUGUAGAAGACAAGCUCAAUCUGUAAAACUCAUGAAAGGAACGAAACAAUCUCCUAAGAAUGCCAGACAUUUUUCAUUCAGAUAUAAAAACAAGACUUGAGUCUUAGGGGAGAGCCAGAUCCUGCACACAAGAACAGAUAUUGCAGAGCCAACAACAACUGUCUCAGCUGCCCCUUUGCUGAAAUCUCUGUUUAUUGAUUCAGCUCUUUCCCAACCUGUUCAGCUCUUUCCCAACACAAAGCCAACUCCAAAUAUCCAGAAUAUUUGUUAGAGACAUGAAGACGUAUCUAAAUUUCAACAUGCAGCUUCAGAAAAGCAUAAACAUGCCUGUCUCACUCCUUGUAAAGGCUGAUGAAAAUAUUUGCAAGCUAUCCAAAAAUUGAGAUGAGCCAACUCAAAAAGCCAACUCCAUUUUUCCCUGUAUUAAUACAAAAUAAAAGAAAAAAGUCAAUCCUAAGCCAAAAGAACAAAAUGGAGGCAUCAUGCUACCUGACUUCAAACAAUACUACAAGGCUACAGUAACCAAAACAGCAUGGUACUGGUACCAAAACAGAGAUAUAGAUCAAUGGAACAGAACAGAACUCUAAGAAAUAACGCCACUUAUCUACAACUAUCUGAUAUUUGACAAACCUGAGAAAAACAAGCUAUGGGUAAAGGAUUCCCUAUUUCAUAAAUGGUGCUGGGAAAACUGGUUAGCCAUAUGUAGAAAGCUGAAAUGGAAUCCUUUCCUUAUACCUUAUACAAAAAUUAAGUCAAGAUGGAUUAAAGACUU
rnacentral:lncRNA from 10 species